rnacentral:lncRNA from 1 species
CCAGAACACUCCCCUUUCCCCUCCUCUCCUAGGGUUUCACAGUGACGCUUCCUCACCACCGCCGUCGCAGAGAUGCAGUCCCUCGUGCCCUUCAGUACGGCUUCGUCCGCAAGGCCUAUGGCGUCCGGACCGGCGAGACGCUGUGCCCGGGGAUCUCGUGCGAGGAGAGCGCCAUCCACAAGGUAUACGACAUCCUCGCCGCGUAGCUGCUCCUCACCACCGUCGUAUCCUCCCUCACUGUAGUGUCUCAAGCCUACGAAGCAGCCUCGCUCCACCUGCCGCCGUUGACUGGUCCACCCCUUCUGUAAUCCUUACUGUUUCACGCUCGCUCCGCAGGCUCGCUCCACCCACCACCGGUGGUCGGUAUGUACCCAGAUUUCUUUGGAUUCUUCGGUUGGUUUGCUGGUGUGCUCAAAUUUGGGUGGCUAAGCAGGUGGUUGGGCGAGACAUCUUGCCACCCACCAUGUUUAUGUUUGUGAUUUAUUCGUGUUUUUUUCCUCCCAUUAGGUCGACGAUGGUAGCCAUAAUCUAUACCAAUAUAUAAUAAUCAUAUAACAUAGCGGUUGUUGUUGAAUAAUUGCGCUUAAUAAUGAGUUUGAGCGGCAAGCCUUGAUUUUUUGGUACUUCUUGGUUUUAAAUGUUAGGUUGUGCAAUUCUCUAUAGCUGUAUGAGCAUUUGGAGCCUCGUUGCUGGACAAGGUGAUAUGCAUGGACUUUUUUUGCUACAAAAUUUAUGCUUCAAAUAGAAGCUCAUGUUCACAGGAAUUAACUCUCUUAUGUAUAGCAACAUUCUAUAGGCCUUGGAGUGUGCAUGCUUAUUUGUGCUAAUUGGGAGUGGUGAUAGGUACACUGACAUAAUUCUUGUUUCUAUUUUUAGGGGGUGAUUUAUUCAUUGGAGUUUACUGCAUUUAGGUUGCUCAAGAUUCAGUUUUGCUUAGACCAUCAGAUAAACUCUACUAGCACAUACUCUGACUUCAGAUUGGACAUGAGAGAGAGACUGCAAAUUUGUCUGAUGCAAAAAAAUCAUCGAUAAGUCAAACCUUCAGAUAAAGUCAGUCAUGGCAUUGGAUCAUCUAAAAAUUAUAUUUAUGUUCAAGCUAAGAAGGAGGCUCAUGUCAAAGAGGUACGUACAUUCUAUUCCUUUUCGACAAAAGUUGUUGUAGGAGGGACAAUCUAAAAGUAUUGUGCAAGAUAUAGAGCAUGCACUCAUCAUAUCUAAGUGAUCGGAGUGAUAUUGAUUAGCUUAUUAGAUGGAUAUUGGCCCAGUUUAUCUUUCAUUUUUUUCUAUAGCUGUUAGAAUUUUACUUUGCUCAGUUCAUACUAUAAAUAAUAUGAGACUCUUGUUUUGUGGUCCAAGUGUUUAGCGCUUAGGGUGCCUUGGAAGUACGCUAGCUUGUUGUCAUGAAGAAGUCAUUCAAGUUCCUUCCAGUGAGUUAUUAGUUCUUAUGUAUAUUUCUGUAACAUGUAAUUUUACAAUCUUUAUGCACAUUGGAGGUGUAUUUUACGACAUAAUUAAGCAUCAUAAACAAAUAUAUUUUAGAGUAGAAAGAAGGACAAUGCACUCCAUUAUGUUUUAAACAUUGACUUUUAUGUUUACCUCAUUGCAACCUUUUCAGGCACUUCCUAUAUUUCUUGACAUAAUGUUUCAUCAUGUUCUUGGUGUAAUAUU